CGUCGAUGACUCCCCUGUCACCUAACAAUGCCCAAGGAAAGGGACGAGAUCACGAUCCCAGAGGAUAGUGAAUGGAAUUAACAAUUCAGGCUCUGCUGUCUGCUGGUACCAGCUAGUAUCUAGCUAGGAGUAUGGUAUGGGCCUCAGAAUUUAGUUUAAGCAAAGCACUGACAAAAGUGUGUUGUGAUUGUGAUCCAGUAGUAAGUAAUUUAUACAAAGUCCCGUGCUGCCUUGUGAACCUUUUGGAGUGGACGCGUGGUACGCACUAUGGCAGUAGUAUGGCAAAUAUAUGUUUGUGCAGGAUUCAGUCUUCUCCGACGAGGAAGGAGACCUUGUGCAUGUCAGCCUUUUUGUCCUCCCAGAUAGAUAGAGGAUACUCACGGGCACACAGUAGUAAGCAACAUAUUGACAGAGCAGUAGGCAGAGGAGGAAGCCUAGCCGAGCAAGGGAAGGCGAGGCUCAGCUCACCUGUAAUGACGACGUCGCGG
rnacentral:misc_RNA from 1 species